AGCAGCCGCGGUAAUUCCAGCUCCAAUAGCGUAUAUUAAAGUUGUUGCAGUUAAAAAGCUCGUAGUUGAAUUUCGGGAUCAAUUUAUCGGUCGUGCCAAUGGUAUGAACUGGUACAAUUGGUUUCUCCCUUCUGACGAAGCAUGAUGUCAUUAAUUUGGUGUCGUGGGGAAUCAGGACUGUUACUUUGAAAAAUUAGAGUGUUUAAAGCAAGCAUUAGCUUGAAUACAUUAGCAUGGAAUAAUGAAAUAGGACGUUUGAUCCUAUUUCGUUGGUUUCUAGGAUCGACGUAAUGAUUAAUAGGGAUAGUUGGGGGCAUUAGUAUUCAAUUGUCAGAGGUGAAAUUCUUGGAUUUAUUGAAGACUAACUACUGCGAAAGCAUUUGCCAA
rnacentral:rRNA from 1 species